GCGCUUGUAGCUCAGCUGGAUAGAGCACAUGCCUUCUAAGCCUGUGGUCGAUGGUUCGAAUCCAUUCAAGCGCGCCA
rnacentral:tRNA from 1 species